rnacentral:rRNA from 1 species
UAGGGAAUUUUCCACAAUGGGCGAAAGCCUGAUGGAGCAACGCCGCGUGCAGGAUGAAUGCCUUCGGGUUGUAAACUGCUUUUAUCUGUGACGAAUAUGACGGUAGCAGAUGAAUAAGGAUCGGCUAACUCCGUGCCAGCAGCCGCGGUCAUACGGAGGAUCCGAGCGUUAUCCGGAAUUACUGGGCGUAAAGAGUUGCGUAGGUGGCAUUGUGUGUCGGUAGUGAAAGCGUGUGGCUCAACCACAUAGACAUUAUCGAAACUGCAAAGCUUGAGGACGAGAGAGGUACCUGGAAUUCCAAGUGUAGGAGUGAAAUCCGUAGAUAUUUGGAGGAACACCGAUGGCGUAGGCAGGGUACUGGCUCGUUCCUGACACUAAGGCACGAAAGCGUGGGUAGCAAACGGGAUUAGAUACCCCCGUAGUCC